UACGUAGGGGGCAAGCGUUGUCCGGAAUCAUUGGGCGUAAAGCGCGUGUAGGCGGUUCGAUCAGUCUGCUGUGAAAGUCAGGGGCUCAACCCUUGAAUGCCGGUGGAUACUGUCGGGCUAGAGUGCGGAAGAGGCGAGUGGAAUUCCUGGUGUAGCGGUGAAAUGCGCAGAUAUCAGGAGGAACACCAAUUGCGAAGGCAGCUCGCUGGGACGUUACUGACGCUGAGACGCGAAAGCGUGGGGAGCAAACAGG
rnacentral:rRNA from 1 species